rnacentral:rRNA from 1 species
AUGAAACAACUUGUGACAGAUUUCUAUAAAACUUUGAACACGACAGAAGGUGUACAGGGGGUAGAUGACGUAUUACAGCAUGUGCCUCGGAAAGUAACACCAGAGAUGAAUGCUUCGCUUGGCGCCCCUUACACAAGUGAGGAGGUAAAGCAGGCCCUGUUUCAGAUGUUUCCCACGAAGGCACCGGGCCCAGAUGGUUUUCCUGCUCACUUCUAUCAGCGCCACUGGGACAUUUUUGGGGAUGAAAUAACUAAAGUCGUGCUUCGGAUUGUCCGUGGAGAGGAGACUGCUGCAAGUGUUAAUGAUACGGUACUCGUGUUUAUACCCAAGAUACAAAACUCCACUCUCCUUACCCAGUUUAGGCCUAUCAGCCUAUGCAAUGUGAUUUAUAAAAUUGCUUCUAAAGUGGUGGCGAAUAGAUUGAAGGUGAUAUUGCCAGAUAUUAUCUCGAAGGAGCAAUCAGCCUUUGUCCCCGGGAGGUUAAUCACGGAUAAUAUUAUAUGUGCGUAUGAAUGUUUGCACUUCAUGAAGAGAAACAUAUCCAAGACAAACAACUUUUGUGCACUCAAGCUUGAUAUGAUGAAGGCAUAUGACAGACUAGAGUGGCCUUAUCUAAAGGCAAUUAUGGUUAAGCUUGGCUUUGCACCAGAUUGGAUCCAUACAUUUAUACCACUAAUGUUGGUGGCUCCCCCAGUGCAGUACGUAUACCUCUGA